AUUACUCUCUCUCUCUCCACGUAUAUAUAUCUGCUAUAUAAACCCACAUCGCCAAUCACUUCACCACUCCAAAUUACUAUCCCUUUCUAUACCCAAAAAGAAAACUCCAUCUUCUGCUUCUGUGAAAAGAGAAUGGAGAAGCUGAACUCGGAGCUGUACAUGGAGAACUACUCCAUCAUGCAAGAGAAUGAGAGGCUGAGGAAGAAGGCGGAGCUUCUCAACCAAGAGAAUCAAACACUGCUUCAUCAGCUCAAGCAAAGGCUAUCCGCCAAGGCGCCCGCCGCCGCCACCUCCUCCUCCGCUGCCAAGCCCCGGCCCACCAAGAAAUGAUAAUGCUUCAAAACUUUAGUAGUAGCUAGGUGUGAUUGUUUAUUGCUUAUGAGUUACUUAGACGAUAUUUCAUUCCAAUCAGGACGCUUCUUUUUUUUCUUUUGUUAGGACUGGACUUUUGAUGUGGCUAAAGUCAUAAAUGGACGGUGCGUUAUAAAAUUGUUGAUUUGUUCUACGACUUUUUUUAUAAAUAUAAAAGUAAUGAUGUCUCCUCA